rnacentral:rRNA from 1 species
UCGAGAAUCUUCGGCAAUGGGCGAAAGCCUGACCGAGCGACGCCGCGUGCGGGAUUGAAGGCCUUCGGGUUGUAAACCGCUGUCGUAGGGGAGCAAGAGAAGAGGGUUCUCCCUCUAAUUUGAGCGAUCCUAGGAGGAAGGACGGGCUAAGUUCGUGCCAGCAGCCGCGGUAAGACGAACCGUCCGAACGUUAUUCGGUAUCACUGGGCUUAAAGAGUUCGUAGGCGGCUCCGUAGGUGAGGUGUGAAAUCCCUCGGCUUAACCGAGGAAUUGCGCUUCAAACCGUGGAGCUAGAGGAAGAUAGGGGUGAGCGGAACAGAUGGUGGAGCGGUGAAAUGCGUUGAUAUCAUCUGGAACACCGGUGGCGAAAGCGGCUCGCUGGAUCUUUUCUGACGCUGAG